rnacentral:rRNA from 1 species
GACCGUGCGAAGGUAGCAUAAUAAUUAGUCUCCUAAUUAGAGGCUUGUAUGAAUGGUCGGACAAGAUGGAAACUGUCUCAAUACAAUAAAUAAAAUUUAAUAUUUAAGUAAAAAAGCUUAAAUAAAAUGGAGGGACGAUAAGACCCUAUAAAGCUUUAUGUUACAUUUCUUUUUUAUAAAUUGUAUUGUUAUUAACUUAUUUUAGAAUUUGUAUCAUUUUACUGGGGCGGUAAAAGUAUAAUAAAGAUUAACUGCUUUUGUUUUGAAUAACAAUUUUAGUUGGAAAUAAAUUGAUCCAUUAUUAAUGAUCAUAAGAACAAGUUACUUUAGGGAUAACAGCGUAAUUUUUUUUGAGAGUUCUUAUCGAAAAAAAAGUUUGCGACCUCGAUGUUGAAUUAAGG